rnacentral:lncRNA from 10 species
AUAUAUGAUACAGUUUAUAUGUGCAGAUGUAUUAUAUAUGAUAGUUUAUAUGUGCAGAUGUAUUAUAUAUGAUACACAGUUUAUAUGUGCAGAUGUAUUAUACACAGUUUAUAUGUGCAGAUGUAUUAUAUAUGAUACACACACAGCUUACGUGUGCAGAUAUAUAUGAUACACACAGUUUCUUUCCCAGCUCUGUCCACCGAAGGGGCCUAGAAGCAAUGCCACCCCAGAAACAACUGGCACACCUGAAAUCCAUUUCUUGGUUUGUAAAUACCAUUCUCUAUUCCAAGGGAACAGAACUCUUUGGAGAAAUGACUAUUUCCAGGGAAGAGCAGAGAGAGUACAGGGUGAGCCUUAGAAUGUCUAGUGCUGGAAAAUAAGGAAAUGCUGAACAACGUUGGGGACAUGUGAGAGGGCUGGAGGAGCAGCCUGAAGGCUCUCCCCCUGUCCAAAUCGGGGGCAAUUUGAGCAUAAAAAUAAUUGUAGGAAGAGGCCAGGAAGGUGACAGAAUAGGAGGUUCCAGCCCUCAUGCCCCCACAGAAACACUGAGAGGUUCUAGCACCCCACAGGGCAAAGAGAGCACACCGAAGAGGCUAAGAAGGUUCAGUUUACCUGUGCUAGUGCUCCUCCAAUGAGGCCCCCCUGGGCCUGUGGUUUCUCCCACAGGGGAAACUGAGUGCUGAGUGAGCACCAGCUUCCCCAACCUUAUAGGAUGCUGCCCAAUAGCCCACCUGUGUCUCUCCCCAGAACACUGAGGAAUCAGCAUGGCUGAGUCACCUGGGGACUGCUAGGAGAAGGGAAGGACAUGCCUAGCAACCAACAGCCAGCCAUGGAUCCCACUAACCAGCUAACACUCCACCAGGAGGCCCGCCCAUGAACCCACAGAACAACUUGCCUGUGGGCCCCCCAACCAACUGAUCCAUGCCCCCAGCACUCCACGUACCCCUGAGCAUAUGGUGUCUCAUGCACCCUCCUCCCAAACAGUACACAGAUCUCAACGGCAGAUGCAAAUCUGAGCAGCCGGCUUGACUCUGCUGGACUGGGAGAAGGUGCCCAACCUUGAAUGCUUCAGAGCACUGCAUUAGGGAAAAUGGGAGGUGCUCAGUGUAGACCCAGCUUUGGAGGAUUGAGAGGAGCUUACAACCUAAGACUUCUCUCCCUAAGAGGGAGCAACAGGAGUAGAGUGGGUGUAUCUACAGAAAAGAUCUGAGCGAUCCCUCAAAUCCUUAGCUAGGAUGACUGAUGAAGGUCUUUCUCUCCCAAAGCCAGUCAACAAAGACUGGGGGACAGCCAGGCAUGGUAGCUUACACCUGUAAUCUCAGCACUUUGGGAGGCUGAGGUGGGAGGAUCACUUGAGGCCAGGAGUUUGAGACCACCCUGGGCAACAUAGUGAGAUCCCAUCUCUUAAAAAAAAACAUUAAAAAAAUUUUAAUAAGAAACAAGUAAGACUAAAGGAGGUGACCGCUUCUUCAAAUGUGAAGAUAGCAGCGCAAGUCUUCAAAAAUAUAUAUAUACAAAGAAUCAAGGAAAUAUGACACCUUUAAAGCAACAAAAUAAAGCUCUAAUAGUUGACCCCAAAGAAAUGGGGACUUAAUGGCCAGGCUCAGUGGCUUACACCUGUAAUCCCAACACUUUGGGAGGCCAAGGCAGGCAGAUCACAAGGUCAGGAGUUCGAGACCAGCCUGACCAACAUGGUGAAACCCCAUCUCUACUGAAAACACAAAAAUUAGCCGGGCGUGAUGGUGCACGCCUGUAAUACCAGCUACUCAGGAGGCUGAGGUAGGAGAAUCACUUGAACCUGGGAAGUAGAGGUU